CCCUGCACAGCAGACAGGCAAGACGAAGAGGCUGACUACUGAAUUCACCUAAAGUGCAGCUUUUAGAGCCCAAUAAGAGAGAAGAAACACAAGAAAACUCUUUCUCCACAUCACAGUUUGGUUUGAAGAUGCAAGCCUUAGAUGUGACAGAAGAGAAAUGCCCCAAAGAGCAGUCUGUUCAAAUGGCCCCCCAGUCUCCCGAAUGAAAUCGAAGAGGAGGGCAAAGGAGGCGUGGAGGCAUAUGGUGGUACCUACUCUUCUAAAAGCACUCGGGCUGGCCCGGUGGCUCAGGCGGUUGGAGCUCCAUGCUCCUAACUCCGAAGGUUGCCGGUUCGAUUCCCACAUGGGCCAGUGGGCUCUCAACCACAAG